GACGAACGCUGGCGGCGUGCCUAACACAUGCAAGUCGAGCGGAGAAAGUUCUUCGGAACUUUCUCAGCGGCGGACGGGUGAGUAACACGUGGGUAACCUGCCUUAUAGAGGGGGAUAGCCUUCCGAAAGGAAGAUUAAUACCGCAUAACAUUUUCGUUUCGCAUGAAAUGAAAAUCAAAGGAGCAAUCCGCUAUAAGAUGGACCCGCGGCGCAUUAGCUAGUUGGUGAGGUAAUGGCUCACCAAGGCGACGAUGCGUAGCCGACCUGAGAGGGUGAUCGGCCACAUUGGAACUGAGAUACGGUCCAGACUCCUACGGGAGGCAGCAGUUGGGAAUAUUGCACAAUGGGGGAAACCCUGAUGCAGCAACGCCGCGUGAGUGAUGAAGGCCUUCGGGUUGUAAAGCUCUGUCUUUGGGGACGAUAAUGACGGUACCCAAGGAGGAAGCCACGGCUAACUACGUGCCAGCAGCCGCCGCAG
rnacentral:rRNA from 1 species